AACGAACGCUGGCGGCGUGCCUAACACAUGCAAGUCGAACGCGAAAGGGACUUCGGUCCUGAGUAAAGUGGCGCACGGGUGAGUAACGCGUAGAUAACCUAUCUUCACGUCUGGAAUAAUACGCCGAAAGGGGUACUAAUACCGGAUAUUAUUGCUUUUCAUAAGUUUUGCAAGGAAAGGUGGCCUCUGUAUAUGCUACUGCGGGAAGAGGGGUCUGCGUACCAUUAGCUAGUAGGUGGGGUAAUGGCCUACCUAGGCAACGAUGGUUAGCGGGUCUGAGAGGAUGAUCCGCCACACUGGCACUGGAACACGGGCCAGACUCCUACGGGAGGCAGCAGUGAGGAAUAUUGCGCAAUGGGGGAAACCCUGACGCAGCGACGCCGCGUGAGUGAGGAAGGCCUUCGGGUCGUAAAGCUCUGUCAAAGGGAAAGAAGUGCAUGAUGGCUAAUACCUGUCAUGUUUGACGGUACCCUUAAAGGAAGCACCGGCUAACUCCGUGCCAGCCGCCGCAGUAACAC
rnacentral:rRNA from 1 species